GAGUGUGCUGAUUUGUGGCCUACGAUUGCUAGUGCAGCCAAUGCCAUUGUGUAAUAUCCAGAUUUUUCUUCAGGUGUCAGUGAGGAGUAGUAGUGUCAUGUUAUUUGUUAUUGAAAAGAAAAGAGAGUUUUUUAAAUAUGGAUCCAUAUUUGUAUUGGAAGUUUUUGUUUUCCAGUGACGUACAUAUAUUGGAAUUGAUAUUCUGGGAUCAA